rnacentral:lncRNA from 1 species
UUUUGAGAUGAUGAAUGUACUUUAUAAUGGGUCAUUCUGAUGGAUUUCACACCCUGGGCUUAUCCAGCUGUUUGAUUGUGUCCUUUAAAGUUUUAACUUCAUGGUAAAUAUAUCUUAAAUAUAUAUUGUUAACAGUUAUUAAUUAAAAAGCAAAAUAGUAUUUGAAAGAUACUUUCCAAAGACCUAUGAUAUUUUUUGUUAUUUGUGAGCAUUUGUUGUUAUUUGUGAGCAUUAAGUUGUCUGAAUGUUACUGUUUCAUCUACAUUAUUCAACAAUAACUCUAUUCAACAAUACUGUCAGCAGUAUUGAGAAAUGAAUAUUUAAAGUAAUGAGUAAGCUAAUUGACGUGGAUUGUGACAUCAGGGGAAAAAAACAGGAAAACAACAAAAGAAGCAAGUUUGGAGUAAACACCAAAAAAUCCCAAUAUGAGAAAACUGAGCUCAGUAAUUAUAUUCAAGUUUAUAAUCCAGCUAUCCAAAUCAACAAUAUGCUGAAAGUGAAGAUACGUUCUCCCCUAGCAUAAAUAAUAUCAAGAUAACAAUAAUGUUCAAUGCUAUGACAUGCAAAGAAGGUGCCGAGCUAAGCUCAUAAUAUUCUGCUUUUGAAAUUUUUACAUGAUAGUGGAGUCUGACUGCCAUAAGGGCUGGCAAACACUUUGCUUACAAUUUCCUGUAAAAGUAGCUAAAGGUUUUUUGAAUGAAUAGAAUAAUUUCCAAGCAUAUAGUUCCUUUAUGCUAUGUUAUUCUGAAAUGAUAGAACUGUUUUGGGGCUCUAUAUUGCAGACAUAAAAAGUAAUUACAGAGCUAGCAAGAUGACUCAAUGAGUCAAAGCACAUGCUGCCAGUCUGAUGACCUGAGUUUUAUCUUUGGAAUUGAGAUGGCAAAAGGAGAAGAUCAAUUUCUGCAGGUUUUCCUCUGACAUCCCCACCUGUACCAUGACAUAUGCCUCCCAAUUCUUCCUAACACACGGCAAACAACAAGCAAACAGAAAAAUAAGUGUACAAAAUAUAUUUUGAAGUAGUAACAAAUCCUUAAAGAACAUUAG